CGUCGGUACUCAGCGGUGUUGGAACUUCGUUGCUUGCUUGCCUGUGCGCGCGUGCGCGGACAUGGCCUCAAACGAUUAUACCCAACAAGCAACCCAAAGCUAUGGGGCCUACCCCACCCAGCCCGGGCAGGGCUAUUCCCAGCAGAGCAGUCAGCCCUACGGACAGCAGAGUUACAGUGGUUAUAGCCAGUCCACGGACACUUCAGGCUAUGGCCAGAGCAGCUAUUCUUCUUAUGGCCAGAGCCAGAACACAGGCUAUGGAACUCAGGAGUAUCUUUGGUGGGGAGUGUGGAGGAUUGCAUGAAUCUCCCUGAAGCCAGUCCCUAGUGCAUGGUUUAGUAUUCUUGUUGUCUAGGGAUCUGUGAGGGCUUUGAUUUGGGGGCAGUGACUUUCUUUUUACAUCCCCAUUUUAUUUUUGUGAGAACUUGGGAGCCUGAACUCCCAUCCAUACCACUGAAUAGAGAUUUUGAGUAAUGAUACUUGUUUCCAAAAAAAAAGAAACCAUACAUAGAUACGUAUGGAUUGGAGUCAUUAAUAUCCUAGGCAAGAAACAUGGAAGUGAAGACUUCUUUCUCUGCAAGGGAAACCGAUGAUCCCACUCCUGGG
rnacentral:lncRNA from 1 species